GUCAGCUCGUGUUGUGAAAUGUUGGGUUAAGUCCCGCAACGAGCGCAACCCUUAUCCUUUGUUGCCAGCACGUGAUGGUGGGAACUCAAAGGAGACUGCCGGUGAUAAACCGGAGGAAGGUGGGGAUGACGUCAAGUCAUCAUGGCCCUUACGAGUAGGGCUACACACGUGCUACAAUGGCAGAUACAAAGAGAGGCGACCUCGCGAGAGCAAGCGGAACUCAUAAAGUCUGUCGUAGUCCGGAUUGGAGUCUGCAACUCGACUCCAUGAAGUCGGAAUCGCUAGUAAUCGUAGAUCAGAAUGCUACGGUGAAUACGUUCCCGGGCCUUGUACACACCGCCCGUCACACCAUGGGAGUGGGUUGCAAAAGAAGUAGGUAGCUUAACCUUCGGGAGGGCGCUUACCACUUUGUGAUUCGUGACUGGGGUGAAGUCGUAACAAGGUAACCAAGGGCGAAUUCGCGGCC
rnacentral:rRNA from 1 species